AUGUGAGAAAAAUCGCCCAGAAUAAUCUAUCGUUCCGGAGGUUGGCGUUGGGAUUUCAUGGCCGUAUCAAGAUAUAGUCAAGUCAAGUUCCUGCAAUCCAUCGAAAUACAAUGGAUACGAAAACCAUAAAACUUUUGAGGUUCAUAUCGAGGCCUUUCAAACGGCACAGAAGAAAACUCGGUGCUUCCAGGACCAGAAAUAGAAAACUAUGUCAAACGUGAAUCCUAACUGCAGAUGAGGGUGAAAAAUCUACCGCUCUACGAGAUUUGGCCAUUUCGGACAAACCAUUACUACGUGAAGACGACGAUCUCGUGAACAUCGUCGUAACAGCUCCCGGAUCCACUUUGUCUUUUGGGCUCAAGUUCUUCCAACACGGGUAACGCAGCGAUCUAAGCUGAAUGAAACAAUCUACUUGUUGGAUUAUGUUCGUCCCGAUUUCCACAAUCCCAACUACUGGCAUGAAAAGAUAAUUGGAGAAUCAAGGCAAAAAAAAUCUUCAAGAUAGCGGCUGCAUCGACAACAGCGAAUGAAUGUUGCAAACAAAUUUCUUCUUUUGACGAAACGCAAUAGAAAUCAAUCGAUUUAUGAGCAGGACAUCAAACAAUGAUUUUGCAGACCUACUGU